rnacentral:ncRNA from 1 species
CUGCGCGCGCCGGGAGAGCGCGACGUUCGCGAGUCGAAUCCGAACGCCGCCGCCGAAGGGGCAACCCACAAACUCUCAGGCAAAAGGACCGUGCGCGCCG